rnacentral:lncRNA from 1 species
UGAAUCACAGCAGAGCAGCCCGACUCGCGCCACCCAGGGAGGGCUGAAGCGCUCUGCGCGACCGAGGCUCCUGACCCCACCCCUGCCGUAGGGGACCCAGAGCUUGGCCAGGAUGGCCCGCCCUGCCACCUCAACUCUGGUUCUUCAGGAGAGAGAGGCUGCAUGUUUGUCACUCUUCCUGACUCCCUGGGAGAGGAGGGAGAGAAACUUCCAGACUGUUGCUCAAUCUCUGUUAAAAUUAAGCAAGGAGCAGACUGGGCUGGACAAUCUCAAAGGCUCCCUCCAGGUAGACCUCCAUGAUCUGAGCGACCGGCUCUGGGUGCGGCAGCGGCCUCUUCCUCCAGCUCCUCUAUUUUAUCACACGAGGAAGAGGAACAUGGUAAGUAAUGGCGAUCGGCAUUAUCCCCACUGACCUUU